rnacentral:rRNA from 1 species
CCUACGGGAGGCAGCAGUAGGGAAUAUUGGGCAAUGGAGGCAACUCUGACCCAGCCAUGCCGCGUGAACGAAGAAGGCGCUAUGCGUCGUAAAGUUCUUUUAGAGGGGGCGAAAACACUUGAUUCAUCAAGUACUGACGGUACCUUCGGAAUAAGCACCGGCUAACUCUGUGCCAGCAGCCGCGGUAAUACAGAGGGUGCAAGCGUUAUCCGGAAUCACUGGGUUUAAAGGGUGCGUAGGCGGGAUUAUAAGUCAGAGGUGAAAUCUCGUCGCUUAACGACGGAAUUGCCUUUGAUACUGUUUUCUUGAAAUUUGUUGAGGUUGGCGGAAUGAGACAUGUAGCGGUGAAAUGCUUAGAUAUGUCUUAGAACACCGAUUGCGAAGGCAGCUGACUGGACAAUAUUUGACGCUGAGGCACGAAAGCGUGGGGAUCAAACAGGAUUAGAUACCCUGGUAGUCCACGCCCUAAACGAUGUUACUUGCUGUUGUUUUUCGGAAUGAGUGGNGAGAGAAGAGAGAAGUAACGACCGAGGAGGACGCCGCGAGGUAAGGUAAGUACGAAAGAAGUAGAGGNGUGNGAGNGCGAGGACGACGACGAGGAGGAGG